CAACCCGCUCUCAACGCGAGUCCCUAUUCAACACGAAAGCAGGCGAAAGCUUUGGGUAGGAAACUCACCAGAGCUGCGAGAGCUAAUAAAGCCGAUGGCAGGCAAAGUGCCAAGCUCGUGCAUAACUCGACGUCCAGGCAAGCAGACCGCAGACCGCGCCGGGUGCAAGGACAACUCGGAUAAAGCAAUAAAAACAAAACGACCAUUUCAUAAUAGAAUUAAAAACUGUUGCGGUUGGGCAUAGUCCCAUAACUCACACGCCCCUUAAUGGCAGGACUCCUACAUAUAUGAAGUGAACCACACAUCAAUUGCUGCCGUAGUUAAUUGCUAUGUGAAUGCACUCAAGCAACAUUUAAUAAUAAACAGAAUACCCCUGGCGUCAGUGAGGACUAAGUGAAAGUUAAGUUGUAUUUAAGGAUUGGCAACAUUUAAGAGAGUAAAGUGCACUCUUGCUUUGCCCCAUUCCUUUGUGUUCCUGGUUACCACCCACAACCCACGGCACACAACUCAUUCCCACAACUGUUGGGAGGGUUCAUUGACUACCAUUAAAGGUGGAACGAUACGGAUACGAUGAAGUCAUGCUACUACCGCUUAUGAGCAAACCCCCACUGUAGAGGGAAUAGGGAAAUGU